rnacentral:rRNA from 1 species
GUUUGAUCAUGGCUCAGGAUUAACGCUAGCGGCAGGCCUAAUACAUGCAAGUCGAACGGCAGCACGGGUAGCAAUACCUGGUGGCGAGUGGCGCACGGGUGCGUAACGCGUAUGCAAUCUACCUAUAACUGGGGAAUAGCCUUCCGAAAGGAAGAUUAAUACCGCAUAAUAUCACGAGACGGCAUCGCCUUGUGAUCAAAUCUCCGGAGGUUAUAGAUGAGCAUGCGUGACAUUAGCUAGUUGGUGAGGUAACGGCUCACCAAGGCUACGAUGUCUAGGGGGUCUGAGAGGAUGAUCCCCCACACUGGUACUGAGACACGGACCAGACUCCUACGGGAGGCAGCAGUAAGGAAUAUUGGACAAUGGCCGCAAGGCUGAUCCAGCCAUGCCGCGUGCAGGAUGAAGGUGCUCUGCAUUGUUAACUGCUUUUGUUUGGGAAUAAACCCCUCUACCGUGUUAGAGGGCUGAAUGUUCCCAAAGAAUAAGGGUCCGCUAACUUCGUGCCAGCAGCCGCGGUUAUACGAAGGACCCAAGCGUUAUCCGGAUUUAUUGGGUU